rnacentral:rRNA from 1 species
UCAAGUUAUUAAGGGUGCAGGGCGAAUGCCUUGGCACUAGGAGCCGAUGAAGGACGUGAUAAGCUGCGAUAAGCUUCGGGGAGUUGCACGUAAACUUUGAUCCGAAGAUUUCCGAAUGAGGAAACUCACUUAGAGUAAUGUCUAAGUAUCGUAUGAUGAAUACAUAGUCAUGCGAGGGGAACCCGGAGAACUGAAACAUCUAAGUACCCGGAGGAAGAGAAAGAAAUUCGAUUCCGUAAGUAGCGGCGAGCGAACGCGGAACAGGCCAAACCAGUGAAGUUUUCUUCGCUGGGGUUGCGGACAUAUCAUAACGAAGAGGUAUCGUAGAAGAAGAGAGUUGGAAAGCUCCGCCAUAGAUGGUAACAGCCCAGUAUUUUAAACGAGAAGACUUUAGAUAUGAUCCAGAGUACCACGAGACACGUGAAACCUUGUGGGAAGCAGGAGGGACCAUCCUCCAAGCCUAAAUACUACCUAGUGACCGAUAGCGUAUAGUACCGUGAGGGAAAGGUGAAAAGAACCCCGGGAGGGGAGUGAAAGAGAACCUGAAACCCUGCACUUACAAGCUGUAGGAGCACAUUAUUUGUGUGACUGCGUACUUUUUGUAGAACGGGCCAACGAGUUACGUUGUGUAGCAAGGUUAAGCACUUAAGGUGUGGAGCCGUAGCGAAAGCGAGUCUUAAAUGGGCGUCCAGUUACCCGACGUAGACCCGAAACCAGGCGACCUAUCCAUGAGCAGGUUGAAGCGAAAGUAAAAUUUCGUGGAGGACCGAACCCACGUACGUUGAAAAGUGCGGGGAUGACUUGUGGAUAGCGGUGAAAUUCCAAUCGAGCCUGGAGAUAGCUGGUUCUCCCCGAAAUAGCUUUAGGGCUAGCCUCAAGCUUAGAGAAACGGAGGUAGAGCACUGAAUGUCCUAGGGGGUAUUGCACUUACCGAAGACUAUCAAACUCCGAAUGCCGUAUUCUUUUGCUUGGGAGUCAGACUAUGGGUGAUAAGAUUCAUAGUCAAGAGGGCAACAGCCCAGAUCGUCAGCUAAGGUCCCUAAAUGUAAGUUAAGUGGUAAAGGAUGUGGAAUUGCACAGACAACCAGGAUGUUGGCUUAGAAGCAGCCACUCAUUUAAAGAGUGCGUAAUAGCUCACUGGUCGAGUGAUUCUGCGCCGAAAAUUUCCGGGGCUAAAACUUACUACCGAAGCUACGGCAUCAUUAUGAUGGGUAGGGGAGCUUUCUAUGCGGCUUGAAGCAUGACCGUAAGGACAUGUGGACUGCAUAGAAGUGAGAAUGUUGGCAUGAGUAGCGAGAUGUGGGUGAGAAUCCCACAGGCCGUAAACCCAAGGUUUCCAGGGGAAGGUUCGUCCGCCCUGGGUUAGUCAGGACCUAAGCCGAGGCCGAAAGGCGUAGGUGAUGGACAACAGGUUGAUAUUCCUGUACCACCAAUAACCGUUUGAGAAAUGGGAUGACACAGUAGGAUAAGCUAACCGCACUGUUGGUUAUGUGCGGGCAAGUAUUGAGGCAGUUCCGAUAGGCAAAUCCGUCGGAAUAAUGCUGGGGUACGAUGCGGAGCGAAAUUUAGUAGCGAAGUAGCUGAUUUCACACUGUCGAGAAAAGUCUCUAUCGAGGUUAAAGGUGCCUGUACCGCAAACCGACACAGGUGGGUGAGGAGAGUAUCCUAAGGCCAGCGAGAGAACUGUUGUUAAGGAACUCGGCAAAAUGACCCCGUAACUUAGGGAGAAGGGGUGCCUUCGAAAGAAGGCCGCAGAGAAUAGGCCCAAGCGACUGUUUACCAAAAACAUAGGUUUCUGCUAAGUCGCAAGACGAUGUAUAGGAGCUGACGCCUGCCCGGUGCUGGAAGGUUAAGGGGAUCUGUUAGAGCAAUCGAAGCAGUGAACUUAAGCCCCAGUAAACGGCGGCCGUAACUAUAACGGUCCUAAGGUAGCGAAAUUCCUUGUCGGGUAAGUUCC